AGAGUAGCGCACGGGUGCGUAACGCGUAUGCAACCUGCCUCCAACCGGGGAAUAGCCCCUCGAAAGAGGGAUUAAUACCGCAUAAAAUAGUGAAUAGGCAUCUAUUUACUAUUAAAACUACGGUGGUUGGAGAUGGGCAUGCGUGACAUUAGCUAGUUGGUAGGGUAAUGGCCUACCAAGGCUACGAUGUCUAGGGGGUCUGAGAGGAUGUCCCCCCACACUGGUACUGAGAUACGGGCCAGACUCCUACGGGAGGCAGCAGUAGGGAAUAUUGGUCAAUGGGCGAAAGCCUGAACCAGCCAUGCCGCGUGCAGGAUGACGGCCCUAUGGGUUGUAAACUGCUUUUGUACGGGAAGAAACCCCACUACGUGUAGUGGGUUGACGGUACCGUGAGAAUAAGGAUCGGCUAACUCUGUG
rnacentral:rRNA from 1 species